rnacentral:rRNA from 1 species
AUUGAACGCUGGCGGCGUGCCUAAUACAUGCAAGUCGAGCGAAUCUAGAGGUGCUUGCACCUCUAGAUUAGCGGCGGACGGGUGAGUAACACGUGGGCAACCUGCCUGUAAGACUGGGCUAACUUCGGGAAACCGGAGUUAAUACCGGAUAAUCCUUUUCCUCCCCUGAGGAAAAGUUGAAAGUCGGUUUACGCUGACACUUACAGAUGGGCCCGCGGCGCAUUAGCUAGUUGGUGAGGUAACGGCUCACCAAGGCGACGAUGCGUAGCCAACCUGAGAGGGUGAUCGGCCACACUGGGACUGAGACACGGCCCAGACUCCUACGGGAGGCAGCAGUAGGGAAUCUUCCGCAAUGGACGAAAGUCUGACGGAGCAACGCCGCGUGAGCGAUGAAGGCCUUCGGGUCGUAAAGCUCUGUUGUUAGGGAAGAACAAGUAUCGGAGUAACUGCCGGUACCUUGACGGUACCUAACCAGAAAGCCACGGCUAACUACGUGCCAGCCGCCGCCGUAAGAC